rnacentral:lncRNA from 1 species
CACUGUAGGGUUUCAGGAUGGGCAUGCACAGUGAAAACAUAAUGGAUUUCAAAAUUUUAAUAAAAAAAUUCAAAAUAUUAAACCCUUAAACCAACAUCUUCUUGAUGAUUAAUAAUCAUAUAUAACAUAAAUUCAAGAUUAAAUUUAAGUUAUAAAAGAAUACCUGCAGCGCUUAAUCCAAAUUUCAGCAUAACCUCCACCAAGCACCCAAGUAUUCGCCCUCCAACGGUGAUCCACACA